AGCUCUCCGAGUGGUGGGGAUGUUUAUUGGGCCUAAAGCAUUCGUAGCCUGCUGGGCAAGUCCUCCGUUAAAUCCAACGAUUCAAUCGUUGGGCCGCGGGGGAUACUGUUCGGCUAGGGGGCGGAAGAGGUCGACGGUAUUCUCGGGGUAGGGGUGAAAUCCUAUAAUCCCGGGAGGACCACCAGUGGCGAAGGCUGUCGUCUAGAACGCGCCCGACGGUGAGGGAUGAAAGCUGGGGGAGCGAACCGGAUUAGAUACCCGAGUAGUCC
rnacentral:rRNA from 1 species